rnacentral:rRNA from 1 species
UACGUAGGGUGCGAGCGUUAAUCGGAUUUACUGGGCGUAAAGCGUGCGCAGGCGGCCCGUUAAGACAGGUGUGAAAUCCCUGGGCUCAACCUAGGAAUUGCGCUUGUGACUGGCGGGCUCGAGUACGGUAGAGGGGGGUGGAAUUCCUGGUGUAGCAGUGAAAUGCGUAGAGAUCAGGAGGAACACCGAUGGCGAAGGCAGCCCCCUGGGCCUGGACUGACGCUCAUGCACGAAAGCGUGGGGAGCAAACAGG